UAGGGCCUGUGGGGGCUGAUUUCUCAAGCCAGUAAGCUCUUGACAUACCCUGGGGUUGAUGCAAGUUAAGUUUGCAGGCAAGCAUUUUUAUCCUGGCAGAAGGAGUUUUGCAAACCACCUGGGUGACAAUGCCCCCUUUUCCAAAUCCCUCCAUGCCUCCUUGUGGGGACCCCUCCUGGAUGGGCCUUUCAGUCUUGUUGGGCACCUUGACUGACAGUGAACUCCCCAGGACAGAGUACAGCUGAAAUGUGGCACGGUGGGCAAACGCCACCACCUGGGUCCUGGCAGAACAUGGGACCAACAUCAGGAUGGACUCUUUGGACCAACCAAGCAGAACAUUGAAUCCACACCAGUCAUAAGCAAUUGAUGCAAGGAAUAUUGAUAAACCCCGAAUAUCACACAGUACAAUAAUACUGAAUGUAUUAAAAAUCUUGAUAAAAAUAGCAAUCCCAAUAAGAAAGUAUUCAAUUUUUCCCAUGCUUGAAGUCAUUAACUCUCCUUUUCCCCUCACCACUAUNAGUUCCUGGAGAGUGACCAGCCAUACCAAUGGUGCCUUGUGUAUACCUGAUCCAUAAUUCCCCCCAUUCAGAAGAGGAUCUGAACACCCUGAAGGUGCUGCAGGACAAGAUUUUCCAGACUACCAUUAGGACAGGGACAGACGUGAUGAAGUGGCCUCCCUUCCCUGUGCUGAAAGCUCCACAAUUGGUGGUGACUCUUGAGCAAAGACAGAGAGAAGACGACACUUCUUUUUCCUCCAUUUUAAAGGCAAAGCUGCACUCCACCUGGAUUCACCUCUCAGUGGUUUCAUAGACAUGUCCACACACAGUCCUCGUGACAACAAUACUGAGNCAGCUGAUGAACUUUCUCAGGAGGUGGUGCCAAGACUACUGGCUGGCUGCAUGAACUGCAGCCAAGACAUGGGUUGGAGUUGCUGAGUAUAUCAAACAAGAGAGCUUCAGGUCAAGAACAGCAAGCAAAUUGAUAGCCCGGCUGUCCCUCAGGAAUGGUGAACGGGCAGAGCUGGGGGUUCCUUUCCCAGCAUGCAGUGGGGCUUGCUCUGCAUUGCCAGCCCUGUGAGACUAUUUACAAGGCAGCAGAACCCAUGGCAUUGGGCUUCAAGCCAAUAAUGCUCCUUUAAUGCGUUCUCUUAACUUCAAGGAAAAUUCUGGUUCUCAGGGAAAAUAAAUGCAAUAAACCCACCUUAGCUGCUAGAAAG
rnacentral:lncRNA from 1 species